rnacentral:lncRNA from 1 species
UGUGUGUGUGUGUGUGUGUGUGUGUGUAUCCAGAUAGCAAAAUGCCUGCAGUCUUCUAGCUAUAGAAUUUAUAGUAAUGGAAGGGGAAUACGGACGUUGAGUUGUGAGCAAAACUGAGAGACAGAAGAUUUCUAUCCUACUCAACUUUUCUUCUUUUUGCGCAUGACCAUUCCUAGCCAAUCGAAAUUUUCAGAUGCCAAUACGUAGUAUCCAAAUAUAAGCGCGAUUUUAUUAUAACUUACAUAAAAUGAUUCAAUAUUGCAUUUUGUGUUGUAAUCAUGACAAUGUUUUAUCACAGAUUUCCAAAAGAUAUGCAAAUAAGAAAAAAAUGAUUAAUUUUGUAUUUGUAGAAUUAGAGUUUUGUAAUUUUGAUGGAAAUUUUGUGAUCAAAACUACCACUUAUUUAUGCUCAAAACAUUUCACGGAAAAAGAUUCUUACAACAAUUAACUUUUUACAGCCACUAAUAGAGUUUUAAAGAGUAAAAGCAUACUAUCUUUAUCAUGUCAAAAAAGAAAAAGUUAUAUAAUUGUAAGAAUCAAACUAAAACAGUAAAAUUAAGAUUGUAGCAAAAUGCUACAAAAGUGAAUAUAUGGUAAAUGUGUGUGAAGAGGAAUCAUGUUCAACAAUAAUAAAUAUAUAUAAAGAGGAACCAUAUUCAACAAUAAUAAAUGUACGUGAGGAGGAACUAUCAUGUUCAACUAGAGUAAAUGUAUGUAAAGAAGAACCAUGUUCAAAAAUAGUAAAUAUAUGUGAGGAGGAACUAUCAUGUUCAAUUGUAAUAGCCGAUAAAAAUAUGGAUGAAUUAAUUCCUAAAGAAGAGUAAAUUGAUCAUGGGUCCGGCAAAAUGAUCUCCCACAUUUUGCACCGCCACUGUCCCCGAACCACUGAAGAGAGGGGGAGCUUAGCGUAGUCGGUUGGUAGCUCGCGCCUUGCCAUUUCAGUUGUCGUCAUGAAUUGGACGGGCGAGCAUCGUGCUUUCAUUAUCAAAACAUUUAUGAAAAGUAAUCUGUGAUUACGACGCAAAGAACUUUUCGUACUCACUUCGCGCUUGGUAGACAUGCUCCAGUUUCAGAUCGCAAAACAAUACUGUUGUGGGUUUCAAAUUUUAGAGCUACAGGUUCAGCUUUAAAAAGAAAAUCAACUGGUAGACCCAGAAGUGUUCGGACCUGAAAAUGUUGCAGCUGUAAGAGAAGCAGUUGAACGAUCUCCUAGCCGUGUAUCGAAAAAAAUGGUCGCCACUUGGACUCUGUAAUUUUCAAAACUCAAUAAAAACAAAUGGCAU